rnacentral:rRNA from 1 species
GCAAGUCGAGCGAUCGGCCUUCGGUAGCUUGCUAUUGGAGGUACGGAGCGGCGCACGGGUGAGUAACGCGUAGGUAACCUACCCCACGGUACGGGAUAGCCGGUCGAAAGAUCGAUUAAUACCGCAUGUGACGGAGAGGCGGCAUCGUCUUUCCGGGAAAGGCCCUUUCGGGGGUCGCCGAGGGAGGGGCUUGCGUACUAUUAGCUAGUUGGUGAGGUAAUGGCUCACCAAGGCUUUGAUGGUUAGCCGGCUUGAGAGAGUGAAC